AUCAUUUUAUAGUUCAUAAGCAAGAUAAUUGGGUUUUCCCACUCAUGUGUGAGAUGUUCUG
rnacentral:snoRNA from 1 species